rnacentral:rRNA from 1 species
UCGGGAAUCUUGGACAAUGGGCGCAAGCCUGAUCCAGCCAUGCCGCGUGAAUGAUGAAGGCCUUAGGGUUGUAAAAUUCUUUCGCAGGGGACGAUAAUGACGGUACCCUGAGAAGAAGCUCCGGCUAACUUCGUGCCAGCAGCCGCGGUAAUACGAAGGGGGCUAGCGUUGUUCGGAAUUACUGGGCGUAAAGCGCAUGUAGGCGGGCCGUUAAGUCGGGGGUGAAAGCCCAGAGCUCAACUCUGGAAUUGCCUUCGAUACUGGCGGCCUGGAGCAUGAUAGAGGCGAGUGGAAUUGCGAGUGUAGAGGUGAAAUUCGUAGAUAUUCGCAGGAACACCAGUGGCGAAGGCGACUCGCUGGAUCAUUGCUGACGCUGAGAUGCGAAAGCGUGGGGAGCAAACAGGAUUAGAUACCCGCGUAGUCC